CCGACAAUAUUUUACAGCAAAAAAUUCAUCUAUAAUAGAAUCUAGAUCUAUGAAAUGUGAUUUUUCAUCCAAAUUCAGAGAAUUGGCCUUGAACCUCCUCAACUAGUUCAAUAGCGACUAGACCCUCUUCUUAGCACGGUACUGCCUAUUAAAAUGCUUCACCUGCAAACCCAAAAAUCACAAGAAACUAAUAACCCAUUUUUUAAAUAACAAAAAUAAACCGCAAAGUUGAAAGAAUUUCUUAUUGGAGGAAAAUUACCCAAUUUGGUCUGCAUUUCUUAAUUUACUUCUCAUAUGCCUCCCUGAUUUUCUUGCAUUUCGCUGGGUAAACAUGAAAUACUUAGAUGCAGUCGACGGUUGGUUGUUGGCGGUCGGUUGUAGUUGGUCGACGAUCAACGGCUGUGGGUGGGUGAAAAGAUUUUGGGUUUAAAGAUUUUGACAAUUA
rnacentral:lncRNA from 1 species